GAUUCGGCGAAAUAUUACCCGAAGUGAUGCUCCCAAGGAAAAUAUCAUCACUGAGUGUAAUAUUUCGCCGAAU